GACAGAGGUUGCAAACGUUGUUCGGAAUCACUGGGCAUAAAGCGCACGUAGGCGGUCUGUUAAGUCAGGUGUGAAAGCCCCCGGCUCAACCGGGGAAUUGCAUUUGAUACUGGCAGGCUCGAGAACGGUAGGGGUGAGUGGAACUCCAGGUGGAGCGGUGAAAUGCGUAGAUAUCUGGAGGAACACCGGUGGCGAAAGCGGCUCACUGGACCGUCACUGACGCUGAGGUGCGAAAGCGUGGGGAGCGAACAGG
rnacentral:rRNA from 1 species